rfam:Ethanoligenens harbinense YTAN-3, complete genome.
UAUCAGAAAAGGCAAACUGACCGAAAGGCAGGGGCAUAAAGCCAAGAGUCUAAGGUAAAUAAACGUACUAUGAUAGUCUGGUUGCAAAA